rnacentral:rRNA from 1 species
UUUCGCAAUGCCCGAAAGGGUGACGAAGCGACGCCGCGUGCAGGAGGACGGCCCUCGGGUUGUAAACUGCUGUCACACGUUAAGAAUGGCUGGGUUUAAUCACAGCUUGACAAAGGCGUGAGAGGAAGUCACGGCUAACUUCGUGCCAGCAGCCGCGGUAAGACGAAGGUGGCAAGCGUUGUUCGGAAUUAUUGGGCAUAAAGCGCGCGUAGGUGGCUUGGUGUGUCAAUGGUGAAAUCCUAUGGCUCAACCAUAGAACUGCCGUUGAAACUGCCUUGCUUGAGUUCAGGAGGGGAGAGUGGAAUUCCAAGUGUAGCGGUGAAAUGCGUAGAUAUUUGGAGGAACGCCGGAGGCGAAAGCGACUCUCUGGACUGACACUGACACUGAGGCGCGAAAGCUAGGGGAGCAAACAGGAUUAGAUACCCUGGUAGUCCUAGCUGUAAACGAUGGGCACUAAGUAGAGGGGUUUUA